rnacentral:rRNA from 1 species
CCUACGGGAGGCAGCAGUGAGGAAUAUUGGUCAAUGGACGAGAGUCUGAACCAGCCAAGUAGCGUGAAGGAUGACUGCCCUAUGGGUUGUAAACUUCUUUUAUAUGGGAAUAAAAUGUUCCACGUGUGGCAUUUUGUAUGUACUUUAUGAAUAAGGAUCGGCUAACUCCGUGCCAGCAGCCGCGGUAAUACGGAGGAUCCGAGCGUUAUCCGGAUUUAUUGGGUUUAAAGGGAGCGUAGGUGGACUGUUAAGUCAGGUGUGAAAGUUUGUGGCUCAACCGUAAAAUUGCAGUUGAAACUGGCAGUCUUGAGUACAGUAGAGGUGGGCGGAAUGCGUGGUGUAGCGGUGAAAUGCUUAGAUAUCACGAAGAACUGCGAUUGCGAAGGCAGCUCACUGGACUGCAACUGACGCUGAGGCUCGAAAGUGUGGGUAUCAAACAGGAUUAGAUACCCUUGUAGUC